rnacentral:rRNA from 1 species
UACGAAGGGUGCAAGCGUUACUCGGAAUUACUGGGCGUAAAGCGUGCGUAGGUGGUUUGUUAAGUCUGAUGUGAAAGCCCUGGGCUCAACCUGGGAAUUGCAUUGGAUACUGGCAGGCUAGAGUGCGGUAGAGGGUAGUGAAAUUCCCGGUGUAGCAGUGAAAUGCGUAGAGAUCGGGAGGAACACCAGUGGCGAAGGCGACUACCUGGACCAGCACUGACACUGAGGCACGAAAGCGUGGGGAGCAAACAGG